rnacentral:rRNA from 1 species
UACAGAGGGUGCGAGCGUUGUUCGGAAUUAUUGGGCGUAAAGGGCGCGUAGGCGGUGCGGUAAGUCACCUGUGAAAUCUCCUGGCUCAACUGGGAGCUUGCAGGCGAAACUGCCGUGCUGGAGUGUGGGAGAGGUGCGUGGAAUUCCCGGUGUAGCGGUGAAAUGCGUAGAUAUCGGAAGGAACACCGGUGGCGAAAGCGGCGCGCUGGACCUCUUCUGACGCUGAGGCGCGAAAGCCAGGGGAGCGAACGGG